rnacentral:rRNA from 1 species
AGACGGAGGGUGCAAGCGUUGUUCGGAAUCACUGGGCGUAAAGCGCGUGUAGGCGGUCCGAUAAGUCGAGUGUGAAAGCCCGAGGCUCAACCUCGGAAGUGCAUUCGAAACUGUCGGGCUUGAGUACGGGAGAGGGAAGUGGAAUUCCUGGUGUAGAGGUGAAAUUCGUAGAUAUCAGGAGGAACACCGGUGGCGAAGGCGGCUUCCUGGACCGAUACUGACGCUGAGACGCGAAAGCGUGGGGAGCAAACAGGAUUAGAUACCCUGGUAGUCCACGCCGUAAACGGUGAGCACUAGGUGUAGCGGGUAUUGACCCCUGCUGUGCCGCAGCUAACGCAUUAAGUGCUCCGCCUGGGGAGUACGGUCGCAAGAUUAAA